rnacentral:tRNA from 1 species
AAGAAUUUAGUUUAAAAUAAAACAUUAAUUUGUCAAAUUAAAAAAAUAUAAUUAUAUAAUUCUUA